AUUGAACGCUGGCGGCAGGCUUAACACAUGCAAGUCGAGCGAGCGGCGGACGGGUGAGUAAUGUCUGGGAAACUGCCUGAUGGAGGGGGAUAACUACUGGAAACGGUAGCUAAUACCGCAUACCAUCAGAUGUGCCCAGAUGGGAUUAGCUAGUAGGUGGGGUAAGGGCCCACCUAGGCGACGAUCCCUAGCUGGUCUGAGAGGAUGACCGGCCAACCUGGAACUGAGAGCGGGUCCAGACUCUACCGGGAGGAGGAAUGGGGGAAUGUUGCACAAGGGGCGCAAGCCUGAUGCAGCCAGGCCGCGUGUGUGAAGAAGGCCUUCGGGUUGUAAAGCACUUGCAGCGAGGAGGCGUGACUCGCAGAAGAAGCACCGGCUAACUCCUUGCCAGCAGCCGCGGUAAUA
rnacentral:rRNA from 1 species